rnacentral:lncRNA from 10 species
GUAGCUGGGACUACAGCUGCCUGUCCCCACGCCUGGAUGAUUUUUUUGUAUUUUUAGUAGAGACGAGGUUUCACAAUGUUGGCCAGGCUGCUCUCAAACAACUGACCUCAGGUGAUCCGCCCACCUUGGCCUCCCAAGGUGCUGGGAUUACAGGCAUGAGCCACCGCACCCAACCUAUUUUUUUGAUUUUUUUAAAAUUAUUCU